ensembl:lncRNA
UAAAUAAUAAUAUAAAACAAUGUGAAUUGUUAUGUGUUCAUAGUGUUGUAAAUAUUAUAAAAAAAAAAAGUAUACAAACAUUAAUAAAUAAUUAUAUUAAUAUAGGUGUAUUAAAUUAUAGAGAGUAUUUAGAUAUUUUUAAUACGAGUGUAGAUUUUGAUAUUGAAACUCAGGUACCUUCAAAAAAUAGUUCAGUAUUAUGUAUAGUUCAAUUAAUAGAAAAAUUUAAAACGAUUUUUAAUAAAGAUGAUGUAUUAAAUUUGCAAAGAAUUAUUUAUUUAUAUUUUUCAUUAUAUUAUGAUUUUUCUAAUAAAACAAUCUUUAUGUAUUUCGAUGCUUUUUUUCCUCGCAACUCGUUGCUAAAUAUGAAUUUAUCUCAAACUGUAGUAGACUUAUUUGAAAAAUUAAAAAAUAUAAAAAAGGAGAACUGUAUGUUGAAUGUUAAAAAGGGAUGUUAUAACAAUAAAACAAAUAAAUCUGGUUAUGUUGAUAAAAAAAAUGAUUCAUUUAAUAGAGCAUUCUGUUAUGAAGAUCGUGAUGAUAAUGAUGAGGAUACAAUGUAUAACAAUUUGUUUAGUCUUGAAAAUGAGCAAGAAAAAGAGAAAGAAAAAGAAAAAGAAAAAGAGAAAGAGAAAGAAAAAGAGAAAGAGAAGGAGAAAGAGAAAGAGAAAGAAGAAGAAAAAAUAACAGAAGAUGAUAAAAAAAAGAAUAUAAAAAUAAAAAAAGAUGAAUAUAAAAUAUAUAGAUGGACAAUGGAUGAUGUAAGUAAUGAUUUAUUUGGUAUUAAAAAAAAAAAUAAAAAAAAAAGAAAAAAAAAAGAAAAAAAAAGCAAACAUAAAUUACGAAAAAGUACUAAAAUUGUUAAAUAUAUUUGAAAAAGAAAAAAAGAAGAUUAUAGAAGAUGAGCACAUUUCUAACGCUUUAUAUAUUUUUAACGAUGUAAAUAUAAAUAUUUAUAAUUAUAGUUUUUGGUUUACACCUGUAGAAAUAUCAGAUAAAAAUAAUUUAAGAAAAUAUAUAUCAAGACAAAUUCAUAUUGUUUAUAGUGUUUGUAAAUUUUUUAAUUCUGACAUAAAAUUUAUUGAUGCUCAUGUUAACUUAUUACUACAAUUUUUAAAUUUUAAUAGUCCACAACAUCGUUUUACAUAUUUUAAUGAAUUGUAUUUAUUAAGAAGGGUUGUAAAAAAUAAAUUGAUAAGUAGUAGUACCGGAAUAAAUUUUUAUCCUACAUAUUAUUAUGGACAAUCUUCUUCGAAAAAUGUAGAAAACAAAGAAAUAAAUUUAAAUGAUAAUAAAAAAAUGGAACUUGAAUUCCUUGAAAAAAAAUUAUUUGAAGGUAAUGGAGAUAUUUAUGCUUUUAAACUUAUGCAAGAAACAGUAAGACAAUGUUUAAUAAAAAAACAAUUAACUUUAGAAACAAUUUUUAAUAAAGAAUUAAAUUAUAUAUGUACAACUCAAGAUAUACGAAUUUUAUUUGAUUUUUUAAAUAUUUCUGAUCUUAAUUAUAUAAAUGUAUUGCUAGAUAUUUUAGGAAAAAAUAUAUCCUUACAAGAAUUAUGUUUUACAUUAAACCCAAUAGAUAAUAAACAAAAAAAAAUUGAUUAUAAAAAAGAUGUAUGGCCAACGGAUAGUAAUAAUAAUGUUACUAAUGUAAACAAAUAUGAUAUAGAUUUUAUUAAAAGUAUUGAUAGUUGUUUAAAAAAAUUUAAAUUUAAUUUAGUAGAACAUACAAAUUUUAAGUUAGUAUGGGCAGGUAAAAUAUGCAAUCAACGAAUAGUUCAGGAUAUGGAAAAAGACAUGACGACUUCUGGCAAAAUAGGAAAUAUCUCCAAUUAUAGUAACUAUACAAAUAUUAAUACAUAUAAUGAUCAUAAUGCUUAUAAUGUUGGUAAUGGUGGUGGUAGUGCUACUUACGGUACUGUUACUAAUUACAAUCAUAGUAAUAUCGAUCCAAAUGAACAAAAAAAAAUAAAACCUGACGCAACAUAUGGAAUUAAUAAUAAUUUAAUAAAUGACGUUUUUGAUAUAAAUAAUUUUCACACAAAUGAAAAUAAUAAUUUUUAUUCUGAAAAAAAUACAAAUAAUCCAAUAACUUUUUAUGAACCAUUUUAUAUAUAUGAAGUUGAAAAUAUUGAUCCAAAAGAUAGAGGAAUAAUGAGUAAAAAUAAACAAAAAAUUCCAAUAGGUUAUUAUGUAUCUAAUAAAGCAAUCGAUAAUGUAUUUUAUAUAAUAGAAAUGACAGAUACCUCUAUAAAUAGUAUGUAUACAAGUAGUUCUUCACAAGAAAUAUUAACAUUAUUAUUUCCUCACCCAAAAAAAUAUUUAUUAUUAUGGCAUGAAGAUUAUUCUACGAAAAGUGUAGAUGAAUGCUUACAUAUAUGGCAACCACUUCUUUCUUCUAAUAAAGUCACGAGUACAACAUUUUUAGGUUAUGUUGCUACACAAGGUCCUAACAUACCACCACUAAACAAAAUUAGAGCAAUUCCUAAAUCAUUAAUCACAAAUAUCAAUCAAAAAAAUUGCACAACUUUUUACUCGGAUAAUAGUUUUUCUCUUGACAAUUCAGGUGUACUAGGCACUCUGAAUGUUCAUUUUUAUCAAACGUUGAACAUAAAGAAUUAUAAGCAACUACUAUUCAAAAACUUUUAUCUGAAUAUUGUUCAGAAGAUCAAAAAAAUAAAAUCUGUAAAUGAGGAUAUUUUUAAUUUAUGGGAUGAUAAACACAAAGAGGCAAGUGAAGAAGAAGACGAACAAUCAUCCGAAUGGGAAAUUAUACCUCAAAGUUUUUAAAAAAAAGAACAACUAAAUAAAUAAACGAAUAAAUAAACGAAUAAUUAAAUG